rnacentral:rRNA from 1 species
UACGUAGGGGGCAAGCGUUGUCCGGAUUUAUUGGGCGUAAAGAGCGUGUAGGCGGCCUUGCAAGUCCGUUGUGAAAACUCGAGGCUCAACCUCGAGACGCCGGUGGAAACUGCAAAGCUAGAGUCCGGAAGAGGAGAGUGGAAUUCCUGGUGUAGCGGUGAAAUGCGCAGAUAUCAGGAGGAACACCGAUGGCGAAGGCAGGUCUCUGGGCUGACACUGACGCUCAUGCACGAAAGCGUGGGGAGCAAACAGG